GGUUAAGCGACUAAGCGUACACGGUGGAUGCCCUGGCAGUCAGAGGCGAUGAAGGACGUGCUAAUCUGCGAUAAGCGUCGGUAAGGUGAUAUGAACCGUUAUAACCGGCGAUUUCCGAAUGGGGAAACCCAGUGUGUUUCGACACACUAUCAUUAACUGAAUCCAUAGGUUAAUGAGGCGAACCGGGGGAACUGAAACAUCUAAGUACCCCGAGGAAAAGAAAUCAACCGAGAUUCCCCCAGUAGCGGCGAGCGAACGGGGAGCAGCCCAGAGUCUGAAUCAGUGUGUGUGUUAGUGGAAGCGUCUGGAAAGGCGCGCGAUACAGGGUGACAGCCCCGUACACAAAAAUGCACAUGCUGUGAGCUCGAUGAGUAGGGCGGGACACGUGGUAUCCUGUCUGAAUAUGGGGGGACCAUCCUCCAAGGCUAAAUACUCCUGACUGACCGAUAGUGAACCAGUACCGUGAGGGAAAGGCGAAAAGAACCCCGGCGAGGGGAGUGAAAAAGAACCUGAAACCGUGUACGUACAAGCAGUGGGAGCCUCUUUAUGGGGUGACUGCGUACCUUUUGUAUAAUGGGUCAGCGACUUAUAUUCUGUAGCAAGGUUAACCGAAUAGGGGAGCCGAAGGGAAACCGAGUCUUAACUGGGCGUUAAGUUGCAGGGUAUAGACCCGAAACCCGGUGAUCUAGCCAUGGGCAGGUUGAAGGUUGGGUAACACUAACUGGAGGACCGAACCGACUAAUGUUGAAAAAUUAGCGGAUGACUUGUGGCUGGGGGUGAAAGGCCAAUCAAACCGGGAGAUAGCUGGUUCUCCCCGAAAGCUAUUUAGGUAGCGCCUCGUGAACUCAUCUCCGGGGGUAGAGCACUGUUUCGGCAAGGGGGUCAUCCCGACUUACCAACCCGAUGCAAACUGCGAAUACCGGAGAAUGUUAUCACGGGAGACACACGGCGGGUGCUAACGUCCGUCGUGAAGAGGGAAACAACCCAGACCGCCAGCUAAGGUCCCAAAGUCAUGGUUAAGUGGGAAACGAUGUGGGAAGGCCCAGACAGCCAGGAUGUUGGCUUAGAAGCAGCCAUCAUUUAAAGAAAGCGUAAUAGCUCACUGGUCGAGUCGGCCUGCGCGGAAGAUGUAACGGGGCUAAACCAUGCACCGAAGCUGCGGCAGCGACGCUUAUGCGUUGUUGGGUAGGGGAGCGUUCUGUAAGCCUGUGAAGGUGUGCUGUGAGGCAUGCUGGAGGUAUCAGAAGUGCGAAUGCUGACAUAAGUAACGAUAAAGCGGGUGAAAAGCCCGCUCGCCGGAAGACCAAGGGUUCCUGUCCAACGUUAAUCGGGGCAGGGUGAGUCGACCCCUAAGGCGAGGCCGAAAGGCGUAGUCGAUGGGAAACAGGUUAAUAUUCCUGUACUUGGUGUUACUGCGAAGGGGGGACGGAGAAGGCUAUGUUGGCCGGGCGACGGUUGUCCCGGUUUAAGCGUGUAGGCUGGUUUUCCAGGCAAAUCCGGAAAAUCAAGGCUGAGGCGUGAUGACGAGGCACUACGGUGCUGAAGCAACAAAUGCCCUGCUUCCAGGAAAAGCCUCUAAGCAUCAGGUAACAUCAAAUCGUACCCCAAACCGACACAGGUGGUCAGGUAGAGAAUACCAAGGCGCUUGAGAGAACUCGGGUGAAGGAACUAGGCAAAAUGGUGCCGUAACUUCGGGAGAAGGCACGCUGAUAUGUAGGUGAAGUCCCUCGCGGAUGGAGCUGAAAUCAGUCGAAGAUACCAGCUGGCUGCAACUGUUUAUUAAAAACACAGCACUGUGCAAACACGAAAGUGGACGUAUACGGUGUGACGCCUGCCCGGUGCCGGAAGGUUAAUUGAUGGGGUCAGCGCAAGCGAAGCUCUUGAUCGAAGCCCCGGUAAACGGCGGCCGUAACUAUAACGGUCCUAAGGUAGCGAAAUUCCUUGUCGGGUAAGUUCCGACCUGCACGAAUGGCGUAAUGAUGGCCAGGCUGUCUCCACCCGAGACUCAGUGAAAUUGAACUCGCUGUGAAGAUGCAGUGUACCCGCGGCAAGACGGAAAGACCCCGUGAACCUUUACUAUAGCUUGACACUGAACAUUGAGCCUUGAUGUGUAGGAUAGGUGGGAGGCUUGGAAGUGUGGACGCCAGUCUGCAUGGAGCCGACCUUGAAAUACCACCCUUUAAUGUUUGAUGUUCUAACGUUGACCCGUAAUCCGGGUUGCGGACAGUGUCUGGUGGGUAGUUUGACUGGGGCGGUCUCCUCCUAAAGAGUAACGGAGGAGCACGAAGGUUGGCUAAUCCUGGUCGGACAUCAGGAGGUUAGUGCAAUGGCAUAAGCCAGCUUGACUGCGAGCGUGACGGCGCGAGCAGGUGCGAAAGCAGGUCAUAGUGAUCCGGUGGUUCUGAAUGGAAGGGCCAUCGCUCAACGGAUAAAAGGUACUCCGGGGAUAACAGGCUGAUACCGCCCAAGAGUUCAUAUCGACGGCGGUGUUUGGCACCUCGAUGUCGGCUCAUCACAUCCUGGGGCUGAAGUAGGUCCCAAGGGUAUGGCUGUUCGCCAUUUAAAGUGGUACGCGAGCUGGGUUUAGAACGUCGUGAGACAGUUCGGUCCCUAUCUGCCGUGGGCGCUGGAGAACUGAGGGGGGCUGCUCCUAGUACGAGAGGACCGGAGUGGACGCAUCACUGGUGUUCGGGUUGUCAUGCCAAUGGCACUGCCCGGUAGCUAAAUGCGGAAGAGAUAAGUGCUGAAAGCAUCUAAGCACGAAACUUGCCCCGAGAUGAGUUCUCCCUGACUCCUUGAGAGUCCUGAAGGAACGUUGAAGACGACGACGUUGAUAGGCCGGGUGUGUAAGCGCAGCGAUGCGUUGAGCUAACCGGUACUAAUGAACCGUGAGGCUUAACCUU
rnacentral:rRNA from 1 species